AAGAAAGCUUGAAAGAGUGGAGAAAUUCAAGAAAGAAAACUAAGGAAGAGAGAUAGAAAUGGAGAAUUAGGAAGAACACGGAUCCGAUUUAGUUUUAUCAGGUAAUCUAAUUAAUUUUUCUAAUUUUUUUUAGUAUAUUCAGUUUAAGAAUGAUCUAAAUACUGUAGGAUUGACUCUUAUACUCUAUCUUAGUUAAAGUUAAGAAAUAUGUUGAAAAUACGGCAUGAGGAUUCCGUUUUAAGACUACAUGUCAAGUAUAGGUUAUACCCUGUUUUUAUUUCAAAACUACUAUUAAUAUUUUGGCCAUAACUUCUUUAUAUUAAAAUAUUUUGGUUUGAUUCAAGUUUCUUUGAACAACUAACUCAAAUACCUUCAACUUUGAUUCAAAUAGUAUUUUUUCAAUUUUGAGUUUAGGUUGCCCAAAAUACGCUUGGAAGUCAGGCUAAAAAAAGUGAGUCUUCUAUUUUUUCUCCAGCUGGACCGGUCGAACUCUUUUUGACCGGUAGAGCAUAUAUGUUUUAGACUAGGAUCAUGCUGGAUCAAUCAAACUUUUUCCCGAUCAGUAGAGCAUAUAUAUUUUAAACUCUGAUCAUAUUGGACUGGUCAAACAUGUUCCCCGAUCGGUUGAACUUGUCUCAAUCGGUUGAAUUUUUUCUCAACCGGUAGAAGGUUACCCUAUCAUGCCACUGUCUGAUCAUACUUUAGAGAUUUGUGUAAUUUUUUCAUUAAUUUAAUGUCCUGCUAAGUAUUGCUCACUAUGCAGUAGUUAAUAUACACUUUUCACAUAUUUCAAUGCACAUGUGCGAAUAUUUAUAAACUUUUUAAGCUUAAAUUUUUUCUUUCGAAUAGUAGUUACCAUUUUGUUUUAAUUUUAAUACUCGCCUGCCCUAUAUAUGUAGAUCCAUCUCAUUUGAUAUAUUGCCAUGAUGCAUGAUGAAUAAGGGCAUAGCUCCGUAGAGAAACAGAGAAGACUCGCUUUGAAUAAAAAUUUGAAGAAAGAAAGAAAGAAGGGAAAAGAGAGGAGAAGAGUUUUGGCUAUCGACACACUGUCACGACACUUCUAAGAGAGUUAUGUGUAAAAUCAGUAGACUUGAGAGAAAAUGGUUUGGAUUCAAAUUUUUGUGGAUAGAUUUCUCUGUAAC
rnacentral:lncRNA from 1 species